rnacentral:rRNA from 1 species
CCUACGGGUGGCAGCAGUGAGGAAUAUUGGUCAAUGGCCUGACGGCUGAACCAGCCAAGCCGCGUGAGGGAGGACUGCGCAGAGCGUCGCAAACCUCUUUUGCCGGGGGACAAAAGGCCGGACUCGUCCGGUCCUGAGGGUACCCGGAGAAAAAGCAUCGGCUAACUCCGUUCCAGCCGCCGCGGUAAUCCGGGGGAGGCGAGCGUUAUCCGGAUUCAUUGGGUUUAAAGGGUGCGCAGGCGGGCCUUUAAGCCGGCGGUGAAAUCGCGGGGCUCAACCCCGCCGAGCCGUCGGAACUGGGGGCCUUGAGUGGGGCGGAGGCAUGCGGAAUGCGCGGUGUAGCGGUGAAAUGCAUAGAUAUCGCGCAGAACCCCGAUUGCGAAGGUAGCGUGCCGUGCCGCCACUGACGCUGAGGCACGAAAGCGCGGGGAUCGAACAGGAUUAGAUACCCUUGUAGUC